rnacentral:rRNA from 1 species
UUUUUAUUGAGAGUUUGAUCCUGGCUCAGGAUUAACGCUGGCGGCAUGCCUAAUACAUGCAAGUCGAACGAGAGUAGCAAUAC